rnacentral:lncRNA from 1 species
AGGUCUACCUUUCAGCCUACCUAGGGUGUGCCUUCGUGGUGGAGGCACGCCUAAGAGUCGAGGAGAAUCCAAAGCAGGAGAGGCCUUGUGGGAGAUUAAAGGCAAAGAUAAGGCCUAUAGUUAGCUUGCCAACUGUAAAGCCUCUAGUUGGUUGGUUCUAUCCGGUUGCCAGGAAUUCUGGGCUCUAAAGAGGGCGGAGCCGGGGUGAGCCGCACUGCACCUAAGGGGAACUCGCCAGCCUCAAGGGGCUGGGAGCUUUGAGCUGCGGCUUCUCUCCAAUGUCCUGGCCUUAGGUCCAGCCCUAGGGAGAGGCUCAUCUGGGAAGUCACAGUUUCAGUGGGGUAGAACCGUGCUGGGUUUUGUGUGAGCACACAGUCGUCCUUGAAGUCAGCAGGGAACUGGAAGGCAGGAGGGAAACGGAGGGACGGAGGAGUGUGGUUUGCUGAAAUCCUUCUCUGGUCGUAAGGCUUGAGCGUUUUUUUUUUUGUUGUUUUGUUUUUGUUUGUUUGUUUUUGUUUGCUUUUUCAGUGCUACAGAUUGCAGCCUGUUGUGGCCGGUUUGUUGACAGGUCAUCGGGAGGGUCUUGAUUUGGUGGGGCUAUGGGAUGGCAGCAGUACAUCGGCAGAGCAACCCAGGGAGGAGUCAGGCAGGUCGGGGUAGUGGGGCAGCACAUGCAGCUAUCUGCCAUGCAGAGCUCCCAGUCGGGUCUCCUCCUCAUCCCAGAGAAGUGACCCUCGGACAGGAAGUGGUGCCCCAGGUCCCAGGCCCAACCCCAAGGCCUAUGAAUGCUAGGCUUGGAGCAAGUCUAUUGCACGCUUUCCUGGCCAAAGCUACGCAGAAAGCUGGAGAAGCAGGCUGGGUAGAUGAGGCUGAGGGGUGGGUGGGGGAGGAGAGCUUGAGGUCCCUUGGCCCCAGGUCACUGCCUCUGAGCAGAGGCCCGACUGACCCUCCAUACAUUCUCAGCUGGUGGGAAGGGAAGUCGUCAAGGCCUUAAAAAGGCAAUGAGAACGGUAAACAUUUGGCUACGAUGUCACCCUGGGUAAGACAGGGCCAUCUAUGAGAAUGGACUGGGACAAGGAUGACUGAAGCUACAUGGACACGGGAGGUUAGCCAACGGGCAGGGGGUGCUCUUCUAGCCUACAUUUCAUUGGCAAAGACCUGAUGGUGUGAUCUAGCUAAAAACCACUACAACAGGAAAUACAUCGCUAUCCAAGUCUACUAAGAAUUCUGUUGUCUU